rnacentral:lncRNA from 1 species
GCCAUCUUGGGAGAUUAUGUUUUAUAUUAUGUUACUUAUUGACCCGAGUUCAUCCAUACCGACUAAGGUGGUCAGACAUGUAAUGUAUCGACCCAAACCAUAUUAGUCAUUUUAUCAAAUAUAUGUGACUAAUUAGAAGAGAUCUGAACCCAAAUCUCCUCACUAAAUAUUAAGUCUACUAAUCAAUCAUCCACUGUUGUAGAGAUGUGGGUGUCUUUUUCGGUGUUGAUCGUUCUCGACUGGUUAUAGUGAUUUGAUUGCAUCGGAAAGGCACAACCACUCUAUUGGCAUUAGAUGCCCCAAGGUAAAG